rnacentral:lncRNA from 1 species
GGAGAUGCUAAAUUUGAUCACUUGGUUAAGGUGGUGAAUGCAUGUGAUUUUGACCUGGAGAAGAUUAUUUUUAAAAAUAAAAUAGCCGGGCGCAGUGGCUCACGCCUGUAAUCCCAGCACUUUGGGAGGCCGAGGCGGGCAGAUCACAAGGUAAGGAGAUUGAGACCAUCCUGGCUAACACGAUACAACCUUUCAGUCAGCAUGAGUCCCAAGGCAAGAUGACUUGGAGCGGAGCCUCAGGGCAUCCACAAUGGUCGUAGGGCAUCAAUAUAUGAGGGAUAACGUGGUGAGGAAACAAGACCUGUAGAGAUUAAGGAACUUUAGACCUGAUUUUAACCAGCUUUGAGACCUGGGCCUGAGUCUGUCUAAGGCUGAGGCUCUUGCCUCAUGUUGGAAAACAAGCUACAUUGGAAAACCUCCUGCAUAUCCUCCACAGCAUUUGUGAUCUCUUCCCUGAGCUCACAGAAGCACCCAGCAAAUGCUUACAAAUGACUGAAGGGCAAUGACUUGAGC